rnacentral:lncRNA from 1 species
UUGGAAGUGAACAAGAUUUUUGCAGAGAUUUUCCCUGGUCAAGAGUGCAACAUGAGUCGUGGAUAUGAACUUUACUGUCAGAUGUACAUUGAUUGAAAAGUGAACAAGAUAUCUGCACUGAGAAUGAAUGAAGUUGAAGAAAGUUGAAAGGCACCCCAGAAGAACCUGAAUUAUUUUAGCCCUAUCCUAGAUUCAUUGAAUAUUUUAGUGUGUGAUAACAUGUGUGAAAUGUGAUCAAUUAUGUGACAAUUUUCAAAACUUGGAUUUAUA